UACAGAGGGGGCAAGCGUUGUUCGGAAUUACUGGGCGUAAAGGGCGCGUAGGCGGCCUGCUAAGUCGAACGUGAAAUCCCUGGGCUCAACCCAGGAACUGCGUCCGAUACUGGUUGGCUUGAAUCCGGGAGAGGGAUGCGGAAUUCCAGGUGUAGCGGUGAAAUGCGUAGAUAUCUGGAGGAACACCGGUGGCGAAGGCGGCAUCCUGGACCGGCAUUGACGCUGAGGCGCGAAAGCCAGGGGAGCAAACGGGAUUAGAAACCCCCGUAGUCC
rnacentral:rRNA from 1 species